GCAAUAGAUCAAAAUUCACAUGCCAAGGGAAAACAUGUUUGAGGCAACUCCUAGGUUUUUGGUCUAAGAGUCUUUCAUGGAGAGGUUGAAAGUGGGAUGAAGCCAAGGAUGACUUGCCGACAUUAAUUUGCCAUUAAGCUAACGAGUUAGGUAGAAUCAUUUGUUAGAUUUUCCCGGCAGGUCAUCCUCUGGCUAUAUUUGGCUUUCUUCCUCUCAUGUGAGACUCUAAUGACCUUCUCAUAUAGUUUGAAUAAGUUCCUAGACAGAAAUGGUUAGAAUUCCAAGAUGCAAAAAGAUGAGCAAAUUCGAUUAAGCUGGGAAAAUAAGUCAAACAUAUCUCCAUGUUUCAGAAGUUUUUAACAUUUUCAGCAUUUCAAUAGUUUUUAAUUUUUUCUAAUUAGUUAUCUUCUUAAAGAGUAGAAGCUCCUCAAAUUAACCUCUAAUAUAAAAAUUUUGUUUCAUGGACUUUUGUUUAUUAAAAACAUUGUUUUUGUAAGGGUUUUUUAAAAUAAUAUUUUUAGCCUGAUUUGUCCUUUUAAAAAUAAGAUCUAAAUAUGUUUUUUAUCCCACAAAUUUGAAUCACUUUUGUUUGUGGUCUCUAGAAUUUAAAUUUAUUUCUUUUAGUUUUUCAAUUUUAAAAAAUAAUUUUUUUUGUCAUGCAAGGGGAGGUACAGAACAAGGACGUACCUCAAUAUAGGAGGAUCGCAACCCUGCUCAUCAAGAUUAUAGGCAAACCCAAAUGGGCAUUGAUAGGAAGACUUCGACCAUUGCGACCGCUCAAGCAAAUAGGUGUGCCAUUAGUACACAAUUUUGUAGUCAUUACCAUUGUUCAAUUUAGAUCCUUGAGGAUGUUAAGAAUGAUUGGUGGCACAAAUUUGGGAUAAGUUGGACUGUGUGUAUUUAUUCAUUAUUAUUUUACAAAUAGUUAUUUAACUUUUUAUUAAUAAAUGUUAAUUAUUAAUUUUGUUGAUUGGGAGGACCAAACUGAUGAUUUUUUUUCCCUUAAUCAUCCAAUCAACUUUAUAUCUUCAAAUAAUUAUUUAACUUUCAUAUAUACCAACUAACAAUAUCUCUCAAUCAUUGCCUAGAACAAAGUUUCAUGGAUACUCACGAGGAGAUUCUCUAUAACAUGUUUAAGUUAUUUGGAUAUGAUAUCUCGUGGAUAUUCUCACCAAGGUGAGAAAGGCUUAUUUGGAUUGAGGCGAAGGUUAGGUUAGUCUUGUUGCUUAUUGGGAUGGUGAUGCCAUUUUUAUGUCUUCAACUCAAAACAAGACCAAUUAAUUAGGCUUCGAUUAGAGGUAGAGUAGUCCAAACUACAAGUUGUAGGUCUUAACUCAAGGUGGAAUUAGACAUGUAUAUGUAUUCACUCACAGACGCAUGUUUUAUGUAGUUCAAUAUUUUUUUAAUGCAUCAUAUUUUUAGACUAAACAUUAAUAUAUUUUUGUUUUUUUCCUUGUAAAACUAUUUUUUUAUUUUUACUUCUUGAAAAUUAUGUUUAUUUUGUUUUUGGUUCUUAUAUUACUUUAGCUAAAUAGUAUUUUAAACAGCAAAAAAAAUAUAAACUAAAGUGUUGUGAAAAUAAAAAAUAAAACAAACAUAACUUAUAAGAACUAAAAAAAAUACUAAAUUAUAAGGACUAAAAUAAUAUUUAAAUCAAAUAUUAAUUAUCUUUUGUACAUGAUAAGAAUAUUUGGACGAUUUAUUACAUAUGGACCUUAAUGAGCUAUUUUUGGCCACCCACAAGAGGUAUGGCAAUUGGGUUGAUGGCCACUCUCAAAGGGCAUAAGUUGUCAAUCAUAACAUUUUCGUAUACAAAUUCAUUUGUCAAAUCAAUAUAAGUAUAUCUUACUAGUUUAUGAUCUUGAUCUAAAAUUCAACAUAAGGACAUUCAACACUGUUCUAGCUAAAUGUAGCACAAACUGGUGAGGCCUUUGAAGAUACAACACAGAAGAUUGAUGGAUCGACCAAGCUUGGCAUUUGGCAGGAGGUUGCUGACAGUGACGAGGAGAGGACUACUACUUUGGAGCAACACAUGUAUGCUAUGUUGGUGCACAUGGCAGGUUUGGAUCAUCAGUACUCAGGCUCCUAUCCUAAGAGUAGCACACCUAAACAUCCACACUAUCAAGAUUAUAUGGACAAUUAUUUCUUGGAUGACAAUGAGACUUGACUAGAGAUAUUUUUGUUCUAUUUUUUUUGUCUUUUUUCUUGUGUACUUUGACUAUCAUAUUACAUAGAUAUCGAUGAGCAUAAUUGUACAAGAUGAAUUUUUUCGUUUCUUUCUA